rnacentral:lncRNA from 1 species
GCAGUAAGAUUAUUGGUGGGCUUAUUUAAGAAAACCAAACUUUAAGCUCUUCCAUACAUUGCCUUUUUCAAGAUGACAUAUAGAGAUAUUCUGAAACCUUCAGAUACAAUUUCACUUUGUUUUUUCUGAGUAGUGGCCAAUGUUCAAAUCCUUUAUUAGCUCUACAACUUUGAAUUCUUCUCACGAAGAAGGCUUCUACCACAUCAGCUUGUCAUAUUUUCAGCAGCCUUUAGAGCUUCGGUAGCCUUACGCAGUUCUUUAAUAACAGAAGACAGUGCUUCUGGGUUGAUACCUUGUUCACAAAGCCGUACACAAAUAGACAAGGUCUCCAUAUCCAACCCAGUGUUUAAUAUUCUUGAAAUCUCAAACAGAACGUCCAUCGUCUCCCGCACGGCGUUGAGGCUGGCGGCAUUGCUCGCCAUGGCGACCGCCCACCCG